UGAUACACCACUGGAUGGUUAUAAUUAUCAUAUUUUCCAUUUGUAGGGCUACUUAAGGAGCUUCCAAGCGAAAGGGAAGGUUAUUCUGCAGAGAGGGAGAAGGGUGAAGGAGGUAACAUUAGCUGUCUCUCACAAAAAGGAAAUCUUCCAUCAUGCGUGGCUUGUUGUUGAUCGUUAUCAUUGCUGUGUUAGCAACGUUUACUACCGGUGCUCUUGAGAACGAGAAACGUCAAUAUUCUCAAUGGCGACCUGGGAAAAGAGGUGA